rnacentral:lncRNA from 1 species
UUGAACUGUAUCAAAAUAAAAAAAUAAGUAUAGAUAAUAUGUGUAAUGCGUAAAUGAGAUUCCAAAAUAAAUAAUGUUAACAAAAGGUUAAAAGUAAAUGGUAUACAAGGUAAUACAUAUAUACAUGGAAAAAAACCCAAUGUAAAUAAUAUACAUAAUAGUAAUGAUAAUAUAUGAAAGUGUUUCAGAUGGACAAGUAUGCACAUGAAAAUAAAAUGAAUAAAAGAGAGGGAAAAUAAUUCUAAAUAAUAUGUUAAAACAACAUGUUUUAAAAAAACUGAACUAACAGAAAAAACAGAAUCCAAAGGAUAAUUUAUAAACACAAUAAAUUGUUAAAACAAAAUUCUAGGCCGAAAUUAAAUGUGCACAAAUGGUUGAGGACUAAAGCUGAAGUUGCCCCAAAUCUCAAAAUAUUCCGCUAAGGGGAGGGCCAAAUUGAAAUAGCGCGCAGAUUACAGGGACAAAUUAAAAUAAUUAAAAAAAACUUAAACAUGGCAUGAUAGAACGCUAGCGCGAAGGAGGGGACUGAUUGCACAAAUUAUCCAAUUAAAGGUAAAAUGCCCGCGGAUCUAGGCAAAAGGCGCACUGAUUCCACCCCCUAUGCUGUUUUGUUUUCUUACUAAUUGAAACCUUAUUUGUUUCUUUUUUUUUUAACAUUUAAAAAACUUAUUAGAAAACCCAAAAAUUUAAAACAUCAUUCUCUUCAUUCAUUUUUUAAACAGAGAGAAGACUCUUUACCUGAACGUCGAAUUCGACGAAAAAGAAAGCCACCGUUAUAGCCAUGGACGAAAUCCCCUGCCCGAACCUCUACACUUCCCAGGAAUUCGGGUUCUUAAUGGCCAAGACCCAGGUAAAACCCUCUCUUUAAUUCUUAUUUCAAACAUAUUUGCAUAAGAAACAAGUAAUAAACAAGAAAGAAAAAAAAAUAGAAACGCAAAUAUAAAGAAAAACCAGAGAAAAAAGUAAAAGUAACCUUUAGAACUUUGAGUCUGAUUCCUUUUAUUGAUUUCUCUUUUGUAUGUAUUUGCUCCCUUUUACAUUUGGUUUGAUUCGGUUUUAUAGUCUAUUUUUACAACCAUUUUUAACUAUUGCAGGUGCGUGAUCGAGUAGAUCUCUGACGUGGCUUGGUGGAGGAGCGUACGGCACGGAGGAAGCGCCCGACAUGCGGGGAAGGUGUGCUGUUGGCUGCGGCGCAAGGGUGGUCUGCCUAGGGUUUCUUUGGCUGAAAAUUGUUAAGGUUUUGGGCCUUUUUGGGCUAGGUUUUAUUUGGGUUAUUUAGGGUUUGGGUUUCCAUUUUGCAUUGGGCUGUUUGUACUUUGGGCCAUGGUUUGAAAUUUGGGUUUGAAUUUGUAAACAUAGUGGGCCGUUUAUUUUGGUUUUUUUUAUGUGCCCUGGGCUGAAUUGGGCCAUAACAAUAACAAUAUACAUUUCAUUAGCAAUCUCAUAGCAUAGCAAAAAGUAACAGUUUAUUCGAGCAUGCUUAUGCAUGAUGAUGCAAUACAUAGAAAUUUCAAUUUAAUAGUAUAAAUAGGUCCCACCCCACCACUACACUCCACAACAAGAGUUCCUUAGAACUCUUAUAUCCUAGAAACUCUAGUUUAUGAAUAAAACACUAGUGUUGCUAGUUAAUACGCUGCCACUAGUUUUGAAAACACAAUGGGUUUAAAGACAAGCUGCCAAUAAAAAUUAUGGAUCAACCAUUAGUGCUUGCAGGUUAAUACGCUAUUAAUAGUUGUGAAUACACAAUGGAUUUGCAAAUUAAAGCUGUCAG